GAUGAAGAACGUAGCGAAAUGCGAUAAGUAAUGUGAAUUGCAGAAUUCAGUGAAUCAUCGAAUCUUUGAACGCACAUUGCGUCCGCCAGUAUUCUGGCGGGCAUGCCUGUUCGAGCGUCAUUUCAACCCUCAGGCCCCCAGUGCCUGGUGUUGGGGAUCGGCCCAGCCUUCCUGUAAGGCCGCCGGCCCCGAAAUCUAGUGGCGGUCUCGCUGUAGUCCUCCUCUGCGUAGUAGCACAACCUCGCAGUUGGAACGCGGCGGUGGCCAUGCCGUUAAACACCCCACUUCUGAAAGUUGACCUCGGAUCAGGUAGGAAUACCCGCUGAACUUAAGCAUAUCAAUAAGCGGAGGA
rnacentral:misc_RNA from 1 species